CCUACGGGGAGCUGCAGUGGGGAAUAUUGGGCAAUGGGCGCAAGCCUGACCCAGCAACGCCGCGUGAAGGAAGAAGGCUUUCGGAUUGUAAACUUCUGUUCUCAGGGACGAAGAAAGUGACGGUACCUGAGGAAUAAGCCACGGCUAACUACGUGCCAGCAGCCGCGGUAAUACGUAGGUGGCAAGCGUUAUCCGGAUUUAUUGGGUGUAAAGGGCGGGUAGGCGGGAGCGAAAGUCAGAGUUGAAAACUCAGGGCUCAACCCUGGGCCUGCAUUUGAAACUGUGUUUCUUGAGUGCUGGAGAGGCUAGUGGAAUUCCGGGUGUAGGGGUGAAAUGCGUAGAUAUACGGAGGAACACCAGUGGCGAAGGCGGAUUGCUGGACAGUAACUGACGCUGAGGCGCGAAAGCGUGGGGAGCAAACAGGAUUAGAUACCCUAGUAGUC
rnacentral:rRNA from 1 species